rnacentral:rRNA from 1 species
GAUGAACGCUGGCGGCGUGCCUAAUACAUGCAAGUCGAGCGAAUGGAUUAAGAGCUUGCUCUUAUGAAGUUAGCGGCGGACGGGUGAGUAACACGUGGGUAACCUGCCCAUAAGACUGGGAUAACUCCGGGAAACCGGGGCUAAUACCGGAUAACAUUUUGGACCGCAUGGUUCGAAAUUGAAAGGCGGCUUCGGCUGUCACUUAUGGAUGGACCCGCGUCGCAUUAGCUAGUUGGUGAGGUAACGGCGCACCAAGGCAACGAUGCGUAGCCGACCUGGGAGGGUGAGCGGCCAAACUGGGACUGAGACACGGCCCAGACUCCUACGGGAGGCAGCAGUAGGGAAUCUUCCGCAAUGGACGAAAGUCCGACGGAGCAACGCCGCGUGAGUGAUGAAGGCUUUCGGGUCGUAAAACUCUGUUGUUAGGGAAGAACAAGUGCUAGUUGAAUAAGCUGGCGCCUUGACGGUACCUAACCAGAAAGCCACGGCUAACUACGUGCCAGCAGCCGCAGUAA